rnacentral:misc_RNA from 1 species
AAAAAGCACACCAUAUAUGCCCGAUGAUGAUGAUUUAUUGGGAUCUAUUCUAGUUGGAAGGGCUCCAACCUUGAGAAUGGGUCCGACACCGCCACUUCCAAAAGCUGCUUCCCGGAAACGACCUCGCUUGACACCGAGAGUUGGUGUCCCCAAGAGGAAGGUUCUUAUAGAUGAUACAAUGGUCUUGCAUGCUGAUGCAAUAAGGAAGCAGUUGGUAAAUA